AUUGAACGCUGGCGGCAGGCCUAACACAUGCAAGUCGAGCGAGCGUGGGACAGGUGAGUAAUGUGUCUGAAACUGCCCGAUGGAGGGGGAUAUAUACUGGAAACGGUAGCUAAUACAGCGUACCCUCACAUGUGCCCCGAUGGGAUUAGCUAGUGGGUGGGGUAACGGCUCACCUAGGCGACGCUCCCUAGCUGGUCUGAGAGGAUGACCAGCCACACUGGAACUGAGAAACGGUCCAGACUCCUACGGGAGGCAGCAGUGGGGAAUAUUGCACAAUGGGCGCAAGCCUGAUGCAGCCAUGCCGCGUGUGUGAAGAAGGCCUUCGGGUUGUAAAGCACUUUCAGCGGGGAGGCGUUACCCGCAGAAGAAGCACCGGCUAACUCCGUGCCAGCAGCCGCGGUAAUUC
rnacentral:rRNA from 1 species